AUGGGCAGCGCUGGGCGGCCACCAUCAUCCACAGAGGGCAGUCACCAGCAUGAGGUGGUCCUGCCUGCUGUGGUCUCACCCCAGGCACAGAAAGCAAGAGCCCUGGGUGGAGCUGAAGGUGCUCAGCUGGGCUUGUCAGGACUCCCAUCUGUGGGUCCUGGGAAGGGCCCCUGUGUGGAUAUCAAGGCCCAGAGCUUUCCCACUGGGGCUGCAGCAUUGGAUUUGUUCUUCUUUGCAGGUCCAGUGAAUGCUGGUGUCACUCAGACUCCAAAAUUCCAGGUCCUGAAGACAGGACAGAGCAUGACGCUGCAGUGUUCCCAGGAUAUGAACCAUGACGGCAUGUACUGGUAUCGACAAGACCCAGGCAUGGGGCUGAGGCUGAUUCGUUACUCAGUUGCUGAAGGUACCACUGACAAAGGAGAAGUCCCCGAUGGCUACAAUGUCUCCAGAUCAAACACAAAGGAUUUCCCACUCAGGAUGGAGUCAGCUGCUCCCUUCCAGACAUCUGUGCACUUCUGUGCCAGCAGUGACUCCACAGUGCUGCAUGGCCGUCUCCUCUCUGCACAUAAAGGCAGGGAGGCUCUGCCCUGCUUCCCACCCAAGACUCAGUGAUGCCUUGGGCAGAAUUCUCUGUGUCAGGAAACUUGGAACCCUAUCAUCCUGGGUCUGAGGCCCCCAGGAUGAAAUAGGAUUUGUA